GCUCGUAUGGUUACACCACAAAAGAAGAGCUCCCCUAGGGUUUUGGGCAGCCGGCAUUCCCGAGUUUUAUUCCUGAGCCUCAGAUCUCUCUUCGUAGCUGCUGCUUCUGCUGCUCUUCGUUUACUGUUUCUAUGGCGGUUCCAGGUCCUUACUCCGGCGUCAGCACCCUUGCUUUCGUGGCUCGUGCAUCGGCCUUCACCUUUGGCGUUGUCUAUGGGAGUAUAAAGCUCUCCUAUCUCAGGGCAAAGGCAAAGUCUCACAAAAAGGAGGCGGCAAAGGGCCAUCACUGAAUGAAGGGAUACGGCCAGUUGAUGAUCCCUCCUGAUAUGUAUCCAGCGACAAUUUUUGUUAUCAUCUUUUGUUUCUCUUUUUUUUUUUUUGGGUUCAUGCUUCCUUCAAGGUUGCUCAAAUCUCACACAUGGAACCAACGGGAGGAAUGUUUGACAUGUUACCUCCUCUCCAAAAAUAAUGGCCAUUCUUGAUGUCAAAGUGGAUUUACAUCAAAACUCUUCAUGUAGUUUUUCUGUAAUUUGUCAUCUAAUUAGCUUUUAGUCAGCAUUCUUUUAUUUGUGCCCUUUUUUCUGACAAACACCAGGUAUCAAAGUGUUGGAAACCUUAUCAGUUUUUAUUCAUGUCAGCGCUAUUUGUUUCUCCCACCUAAGCCUUAGCAAGCUAUUAUAAGCUCCAUGUCCCGCUGUUUGGGAUGUUUGCCUAAUCAGUUGUGUGAAGCAUCUGUUGAAUUUUGUUUUAGAGAGAAUAAAGGUCUUUUGUAAUGACUAUUUCUUUUUGUAAAAUAAUAUGGGCAAGGAGCAGGAGCAAAUCACACGUAGCUGGUCCUAGUUUCAAUUUAGUGAGACAGCAAGCAUGUGGUUCUAACGACAUUGGAUAAAGCUUUACCAUUUAAUUAACACUGAAGAAUUAGGAACUUGGCAUGGUUUCGCUUUUCUUAAAAAAGUAGGGGUGGCAAUCGAAUUGAAUGGGACCAGAGACGUCGAAUCCGAUCUAUUUAUUAAAUAAAUAAAUAAAAUUAAAUUCUGAUGGCAUCCCUCGUAAGGGAAGCUCCCAAGCUUGCCAUCUACGCAAACUCCCAUGGAUUCCUGACAGGUCCCUUUGUUCCCGCAUAAAGCUCACCAUCUGGGUCGUCACAGAUCCAUAAAGCUAUGCGAGCUUUCUCGAUCCAAGAUUUAGUAGAUUUACGGUAGAUUUUCUUCCAACGCAAACUUCCAUCGAUUCCCAACGGGUACCUUUCUUCCCGUAUAAAGCUCACCAGCUGGGUCGUCGUCACAGACCCAUAAAGCUAUGCGAGCUUUCUCGAUCCAAGAUUUACGGUAGCUUUUCUGGAAUCUUUUUUUCUUGGUUUGGGAUAUCGAUGGACGAUUUGGAACUUUCCGGGAAAUUUCCGUGCGCAUAUUUCAAAGAUAUGGUUAAUUUUAUGUUAAUCUAAAAAAUAUUUUUAUUUGGAUAUUUUAUUGUGGUCGAAGAUCUUUGUCUUUAUUCCCUGCACCGUACAUAUUCUCGCAGGGAAAGAGGAUUUUUUUAAAAGAAAUGGUUGGGCAAAGCGAAGUGAAAUAAGAUUUCACGUCCGCGAGAAAGAGGCAUUGCCGAUCGAAUCGUCAGGCACUAAUUAAAAGUGGGAAGAAAGGGGAGACCACCGGCAUGGAUGCGCGGCUUUGUUGGUAAAGUAAUUGAUUCCAGUACCGGAAAAGGCGAAGUCGGUGAGAGCUGAGGAGAUGACGAGUUUGCCAUCGAUCUGAUUGAUAAAGAGCAGCCGAGGUUGGUUUGGUUCUGCAGGGAAGAUGGGAGCUCGUUUGGAAAGACUUAAGGGUGCUGCUUCCACCGAUCAAGUCCUGGAAUGAGAUGAGAAACAAGGUGCGCCUCAUCUGUUCUCUUUCUAAACACCAUGGUUUUCUGGUUCAAGAUGUUUAUAGCUAAAGCUUGUUGAAAAGUGAUUUGAUAUUCAAGUGCUUAGCUGUUUUUCUCAAAAAUUUUGAGCGUUCUGCAAGAUUUUUAUGGCUGAAGCAUCUCGAGAAGUGAUUUAAUGUUCAAGUACUUGUUAUAGAGGACCGAAAUCAUCUUGAGAGGUCAUUUUAUGUAUUUCUCGAGAAAAGAGUGAGAGAGAAGUGGUAGAUCUGCUCAACAGAGUUCAGCCCCAUGGAGAUAAGGGGAUGGUGGAUCUGCUUCGCUGUAAGCACAUGCCAAGUGUGUGGAAGAAGAGUUGAUUUUAAAGGGAGUAUUGUGAUAUGGGAGAUUGGUGGGGAUGGAAAAAAUUAUGAAUUUUUGUAUUUUUUGUCGGAGUGGGCAUGGGAGGUAUCGGCAAAAUUGUGAUAGUGCAGCUGGUCCCAGAGAGAAAGAGGUAUAUGUUCGUUUUUGAGUUUGAAUUAAAGUGCACUCGUUCUAGAUGAUGUCUGGAACGAAAAAGAAAAAUAUUUGAUAAUUUGUUCAGAAAUCAAAAUUGGAUCCAAACGUAUUAAUUCUAGAUGAUGUUUGGAACGAAGACAUCAGAUAUUCAGUAAUGCAUAAAGGAUCCAUAUAAUGGAAGAAUAAAUGAUUAUUUUUUGUUAUGGAUUUGAGUGUAUGAUUUCUGGACGAUGUAUGGAACGAACAUAUAAAAUGUUUAAAGGAUCGGCAAAAAAUUCUAAGCAUGUUCGGGUUUGGAAGGUCAUUCGCUCGCCAAACAAAAAGUUUCUCCUCAUUUCUCCGAAAAUGACAUACUUAUGCCAGUUACCAAUCAGAAAAACUGUUAAUACAGAUUUUUAUAUUAUAUUUUAGUGCAAAGCUUGGAUUCAUCUUGGGCUCUCUUCUUUUUCGUGGUAACCUCCUAGCAGUUGCCAAAUGCUACUUUGAAGAGUUUUUUCAGAAAACAUCACUUAUAGUAUGACUUUCGGCUCGGCUUUGAAAAUUUCGUUAGCCCCACAUCAUGUGCUGGGUGGGAGGGAUUGGACUUGGAAGCUUUUUGAUGUAUGACAUGUUAUUUCAAAUCAUUAGCUGAUUCCAGUUUCAUUCUAAAGCUCCAAAGGUGGGGAGGAAUUUUGUUGAUAUAUAUUUGAGGUGCAGUGAUUUUGAUGGGGCCUUUUGCAUAAAGCACAUGAGUGGCCACACUGCAUGCACAUAGAUUUCUGAGGAGGAUAGCAGGUAAGACUCCAUAAAAAGGAACCAACCCAGACCAAGUAAUCCAUGUCAACUCAUACUUGCAACAAUGGGAGGCCCAUUAAAGAUGCAUCAUCAAAUUCUCAGUUUUGUGAAUUUGCCAAACAAUAGCCUGAAAGUUCAUAGAGGAGUGCUAUCCAAGUUGAUUUCUUCUCCCCUCUUCUCCCAAGUCAUGUGAGAAGAUAGACAUACCCAUAUGUGCACUUGGUUGCUGGGGCCUCCUAGCCAUGCUAGUUCGAUUGGUGAACUCAGAGGCCAAAAGACAGCUGCUUGGAGGGUUUGCAUGAUGGAGGAGAGAGUGGAGUCCAUCGAUCAGAAAUUCACUAUGAUGCCAAGCGCAUCAUAAUUAGAAACAUGGGGCCAUCAGGACCUACGAACCGGGGCAACCGGGAAGCUGAUUGGGAGAGGCCGUAAAGCUGGCCGCCUGUUCCACAGUCAGGAGCGAGAUGAAGUCUGAGUGCAAUGACUCGACUAAUCCACUAGUUGAGGCAAGUUGAAUGACCCAGAGCUGAUCCCUCCUUUGAUGAUAUUCGUGCUCAGCGAAGGAACUGCCUAAGCAUACUUUUUCGGGUCCAAACUUCUUUGUUCUUUCUAAGUCUUCUUCUUACAUAGAAGAACGCAACUCGCUGACGUUCGAUCAGCUUUCCUUUCACGCAAAGAGCUCCAUGAUGAGCAUAAUUGUGCUGGUAUAGCGGCCAUUCAUCUUUGGCUAGGGUACCUUGUAGGUUCCGGACACCUUCAGCAUGGAUGAUCUGCAAAGUGUCUCCCCUCAACAUCAAGGCAUGCAGUUUCAUCCUGUGGAUCGACAAUUUUCGAUUCCCCAUUUCAUACCUGAUUACAUCAUGAUGCACGAUGGAGAAAGUAUGAGAUGCUGUAGUUGUUAUAUCAAUGGAGAAGGGGAUUUGUUGCAAAUCAGUAAUUUAAUAAUAUAGUUUAUCAUUAGUAUGUUGGCUAGGUUGAGUUAUAGCAGCAUUUGUUACCAGUUAACUUCAUGUCAACAUGUUUCCUGUUAAUUUUAACUGAACAAAGUCUGAUCAAUGCCUUGGGUCGGUAUUGUGAACUGAUACCUGCUUGCAUGUUAUAGGAUCGUAUACUUUCUAUGAGUUAGUAAAUCCAGGAUCAGUUUAUAGAAGUAUUUUUCAUAUAAUUAGAGAUGAGCCAUUACUCAGUUUCAGUCAUACUAAAUUACAGUCAGGUAUUUUCUCUGUUUCAUGUGCUUCGAAUGUUAUCUCAUAAUCUACUUCUAUUGUUGCGUUGCGCCUAAUUUCACAACUAGUUACUGCUAGAACUUGUUCUUUGUUUUUGAGAGGAAAUAAGCUUCUGCUUUACUUUCUUGGACUCGACUGUUUGCUCCCAAGGAGGUAUCGGAUCCAUCUUAGUUUCACUAGUGCCUUUUUUCUUUGCAUUGCACCAUACUACAUUCGGAUCUUGGCUCUGGAUUCUUAUGGUACACUUGGUAAAAGACUUGAUCGUCACCUGGGCUUUAGUAUAAAUUUAUUCAAAAUGAUUAUGCCUGCAGGUAUCAACGGGAAAAUAGCAAAAAGUGGAUUCUGAUGAGGAUUGAAUGCAAUGCAAAUACAGUGGGUUGAUGUGUCAAAUCAUUUUUUUCACUUUGGAUUGAGAUGAAAGCGUAGAUGUUAUGUGUCUUUCUUUACCAAUGUACAGUGAGAUCAGAAACUUGUAUGCAAAGAUAAUGGAUUAAUACAUGUCCAACGUAUUCUUUUCUUCAA